rnacentral:rRNA from 1 species
UUAAUACCCGUGGACGAUGACAUUAGCUGCAGAAUAAGCACCGGCUAACUCUGCGCCAGCAGCCGCGGUAAUACAGAGGGUGCAAGCGUUAAUCGGAAUUACUGGGCGUAAAGCGAGCGUAGGUGGCUUGAUAAGUCAGAUGUGAAAUCCCCGGGCUUAACCUGGGAACUGCAUCUGAAACUGUUAGGCUAGAGUAGGUGAGAGGAAGGUAGAAUUCCAGGUGUAGCGGUGAAAUGCGUAGAGAUCUGGAGGAAUACCGAUGGCGAAGGCAGCCUUCUGGCAUCAUACUGACACUGAGGCUCGAAAGCGUGGGUAGCAAACAGGAUUAGAUACCCUGGUAGUCCACGCCGUAAACGAUGUCUACUAGUCGUUGGGUCCCUUGAGGACUUAGUGACGCAGCUAACGCAAUAAGUAGACCGCCUGGGGAGUACGGCCGCAAGGUUAAAACUCAAAUGAAUUGACGGGGGCCCGCACAAGCGGUGGAGCAUGUGGUUUAAUUCGAUGCAACGCGAAGAACCUUACCUGGUCUUGACAUAUCUAGAAUCCUGCAGAGAUGCGGGAGUGCCUUCGGGAAUUAGAAUACAGGUGCUGCAUGGCUGUCGUCAGCUCGUGUCGUGAGAUGUUGGGUUAAGUCCCGCAACGAGCGCAACCCUUGUCCUUAGUUACCAGCGGGUUAAGCCGGGAACUCUAAGGAUACUGCCAGUGACAAACUGGAGGAAGGCGGGGACGACGUCAAGUCAUCAUGGCCCUUACGACCAGGGCUACACACGUGCUACAAUGGUAGGUACAGAGGGCAGCUACACAGCGAUGUGAUGCGAAUCUCAAAAAGCCUAUCGUAGUCCAGAUUGGAGUCUGCAACUCGACUCCAUGAAGUAGGAAUCGCUAGUAAUCGCGGAUCAGAAUGCCGCGGUGAAUACGUUCCCGGGCCUUGUACACACCGCCCGUC